rnacentral:lncRNA from 1 species
UUUGGGUUAUAAUGUAGGGACAUUGGUUAAGGUAGGGAAAUAUAGGCUAAGUGACUCAAAUAAAUCAAGAACACCAUAUGACUUCACUAAUCAAGUAUGGAAUAAAUUCCAUCUUCCACCCAACUAUAUCACCAUAAUCAACACUACUCAAGGGAUUUAAUCAUCACCAUACAAAACUAAACACUCUUUUAUGCUCUCCAUUUAUUUCCAACAAACAAAGUCGAUUUUCUAACAAAUUUCUCAAUAAACACUCGACUUUAUACUUUUUUUUCCUUUUUUUUACUUCUUUUUUUUUUUCUUUCCACAACUUUUCUAGAGCUCAUAAGAGUAAAUAGUAACACAAAAUCAUCCCUUCUUUUUUCACAACCCACUAUGAAUAUUCACCACACAAAGAUCCCCAUAUACUUCAUCACCCCCUAUCAUCCGGCUAAAGAAUAAAAGCUAAAUAGGCUCAAAGUGGAUAACAAAGGAUAAUUUUUCGUUAAAGACAGUGUUUGGGAUAAUAAAGUGGCUAACAAAAGAUGGCCUAAAAUCAUCUCCUAAUCCUGGGCACAACA